UGAGGAAUAUUGGACAAUGGCCGCAAGGCUGAUCCAGCCAUGCCGCGUGCAGGAUGAAGCAUCUAUGGUGUGUAAACUGCUUUUAUACGGGAAGAAACCCUGGCUCGUGAGCCAGACUGACGGUACCGUAAGAAUAAGGACCGGCUAACUCCGUGCCAGCAGCCGCGGUAAUACGGAGGGUCCAAGCGUUAUCCGGAAUCAUUGGGUUUAAAGGGUCCGUAGGCGGACUUGUAAGUCAGUGGUGAAAUCUCCCGGCUCAACCGGGAAAUUGCCAUUGAUACUGCGAGUCUUGAAUUAUUAGGAAGUAACUAGAAUAUGUAGUGUAGCGGUGAAAUGCUUAGAUAUUACAUGGAAUACCGAUUGCGAAGGCAGGUUACUACUAAUUGAUUGACGCUGAGGGACGAAAGCGUGGGUAGCGAACAG
rnacentral:rRNA from 1 species